AGCGUGGGGAGCUGUCAAUCCCAGCUCAUGCUUGUCUUCAACAAACUGCAGGAACACCGAGGAUUUGCCCUCUGCUCAUAGUAAUAGUGCCUAGACCAUCAUCCAAGCAAUCCUAUGUGAGGCCAAGAAAAAUCUGGAAUGGAGAAGUGAGACCCAGAAUACAGAGAAAGCUGCUCGAAAGUUGGCUGUUCAAUGUUCCCUUCGUGUCAGAGAAACUGGGAGUUGCAUACAGAUGAGGACUGACUUUAUGAACUGCGGCAUUUGUCAACAGUGAAAAGGAAGCGUCUGCAAGGAGCUGCUGGGUUUGAUUUGUUGAACCUUCACACUUGACUCUAGCAUCA